GAUGAACGCUGGCGGCGUGCUUACCCUUUGCAAGUCGAACGAACCUUCGGGUUAGUGGCGGACGGGUGAGUAACGCGUGAAAAUCUGCCCUCAGGAGGGGGAUAACGGCUGGAAACGGCCGCUAAUACCCCAUAUGCCGAGAGGUGAAAUGAAUUUCGCCUGGGGAUGAGCUCGCGUCUGAUUAGCUAGUUGGUGGGGUAAAGGCCUACCAAGGCGACAAUCAGUAGCUGGUCUGAGAGGAUGAUCAGCCACACUGGGACUGAAACACGGCCCAAACUCCUACGGGAGGCAGCAGUGGGGAAUUUUCCGCAAUGGGCGAAAGCCUGACGGAGCAACGCCGCGUGAGGGAUGAAGGCCUCUGGGCUGUAAACCUCUUUUAUCAAGGAAAAAAAUCUGACGGUACUUGAUGAAUAAGCCACGGCUAAUUCCGUG
rnacentral:rRNA from 1 species